ACGCUUUGAAAGCAGGAUCAUCAACUUAGUGUGAACCCCCAAGAGAAGGGAGACUGGCUUUCACUGAACACUUAGACAGUGUGGCUGUGUGUGUCACACACCUGCACAGGCAACGAAAGUGUACCAGUGUCUGCACACAUAUGGAUGUGAUGUUUCUAUACAUGCCUACGUUGUACAAUGUUCACGUCAGAGGAAGCCAUCUGUCCCCUCAAGCCUGUCUCAAGUCUCUAGUGAAAGCCUUUGAAACCUUUUCUUGCAGCCGGUGGAGGAGGAAGUACCUACUGUGUGACAGGAACCCUCCUGUGUGACAGCACACCGGAGCUGCCUUCUCCUCUGGAGCUGUACCUGUGAAAGCCUCGCUGUACUUUUUGGUGUCUGGUUUCUCAGCCCAUGGCUAACACGUAGAACACCAUAGAACACCGUGGUGUUACUGGGAGUUCUCAUACAACUUUAGAAUCAGGAUCUACACAUCUUCAGAGCUUAUAGGUCUUUGUAUAAUUCAAGCUUACAACAUAUUAAAGACCACAGAUUGUA